rnacentral:RNase_P_RNA from 1 species
UCAGUCGGCCGGACGGCCGCCCUUGCAAGUGCCGAAAGGCCGCCGGGGAGGAAAGUCCGGGCUCCCUUGACAUGCGGUGCCGGAUAACGUCCGGCGAGGGUAACCUCAGGGAAAGUGCCACAGAGAACGAACCGCCCUGCUUCGCCUUCGGGCUUCGCAGGGCAAGGGUGAAAAGGUGCGGUAAGAGCGCACCGCGGCUCCGGCAACGGGGCCGGCAUGGUAAACCCCACCGGGAGCAAAACCGAAUAGGGACGGCUUAAGCGGGCUGUUCGCGCAAGCGAUAACGCCGCGGGGCGAUGUCAGGCCCGCCGUCCGGGUAGGUUGCUCGAGGCAAUGUGCAAACAUUGCCCCAGAGGAAUGGCCGUCACGCAUCGCCGGCGCAAGCAGGCGGUGCCCUACAGAACCCGGCUUACAGGCCGGCUGAUAUC